UCUAACACGCAACCCAACUCGCCCUUGGAACACACCUAUUAUUUUGCAUCCGUGUAGAGAUUGGAGAACUGUCAGUCACCGAUACCAUUAUGACUUAUGAGCAAGCAGAACACGGCUGCGCAGUGUGCUUUCCUUUGAAAUUACAACCCAAGGAUGUUCAGGCGCCCGCAACAAAAUUUGUUGCUUAUUGAGAUAUAUUCUCAAUAAGCAGCAAAAACAGAAAUUUUCGGCCGCCUGAGAAAGGAAUCCAAGCGAAGACGAUAACGGGACACUCAAUGGACGCUGAGAUAAGUUUAUAAAUUUCUAUUUAUUAUACUUUGUAGGUACAACUUAUUUAUCCCUUUUUCAUUUCAGAUAUCUUGGCCGAUUAACUGACUGUGGGGAAAAACCCACGUUAAAAGCCGGGCAAUACCUUUGGUGCAACGUUUAAGUUAAGCUGUACCCCUAGAGGGCAAUGACCUGGACCAAAAAAAAAACUACAUCUUCAUUCCCGACCUAUCUCAACCAUAGUGAUUUUAGGUGCGAUUUGCGACUGUUGGGGCCCCACCUGCUGGAGUGACAUGGUGACCAAAGGUUGGGAUGCUGGGAGAAUCAAGCAGUCAACGAUUUGUACUAUCGCUUCAUCUCUAUCCGCCACCACUAUGAAUUUCUACGUUACAGCACCCAUACAAUAUUCAAGUGAUUGUUGAUCGUAGUUUUCAAUCAUUGCGGAUAGUAUUUAAGUUAGUAAAAUUAGUAAAUUAAGUAUCACAAGUUUUAAAAGAUAAGUUACUUAAGCUAAAAUAAAAAGAAAAUAUAAAUAUCACAGAUAAAAAAAUUAAAGCUAUCAGUCUUAGUAGGAUUAAUAAAGUUAGUUAAAAGUAUCACAGAUGGAAUGGUCAAACCAUUUUAUCACAGAUAAAGACAAAUUUUAAAAGCUAUUAGCCUAAGUAAAAUUAAUAAAGUAAGUAAAAAUAUCACAGAUGGGAUGGUUGAACCAUUUUAUCACAGAUAAAGAAAAAUUUAAAAGCUAUUAGUCUUAGUAAAAUUAAUAAAAUAAGUAAAAAUAUCACAGAUGGGAUGGUUGAACCAUUUUAUCCCAGAUGUUUAAUAAAAUAAGUUAAAUCCUAAUAAAUAAAUAAGAACAUUUAACAUUAAGUAACAUUUAGAACAUAAGGCAUGCAAUGAAAAUAAUAAAUACGUAUAUACUUAAAAUAUCCGUGUUUAUUAAACAGUUCCAGGUACUUGUGGUUAUAGGGUGUUUCGGUUUUUUCUGUUUCGAACUGUUGCUAAAUAAAUAUAAUAAGCUAUACUCACGGAUAAUUUAAUAAAUUAACAAAUAACAAACCGAAACGAUGCGAAUAGCAACAAUGAUAACUAAGAAAAAAGACUUGUAUUCAAAGCAAACAAACAAACGUGUUUUUGAAGCAUUCUACUUAUUGUUUUAAAUCUUUGGCGUGAUAUAUUCCAAGUCUUUUUCCGGUUAAGUUUUCUAACUCAUACAUUUGAUUUCCUAUUCGUUUAACUACGCGGCAUUUAAUAUACUUGGGUGAGAGUUUCGCUGAUAAACCUUUCGACGAAUCGCUCAUCACAAAAUUUUUCCGAUACACCUCUUGUCCGGGUGAAAAUUGAACGUUUUUAGUACGGACAUUAUAAAUUUUUGAGGAUUUAUCGUUGGCUUUAAUUAUGUUUUCGCGAAUAUGAUUUCGUAUACACUGCAAUCGACCUUGUCGGGGAAGAGUUAACAGCUCGCUGUCGUCCAGCGCAUGCAACUUCUUGGCAAGUUCAUAACCGCUACCGUGCGUCAUCAUGUUAGUGCCGAAUAAUGCAUAAUAAGGUGACACACCGGUAGAGCUAUGAACCGCGCUUCUUAACGCACACGCGAUGUCGCUAAGGUGCGUAUCCCAAUACCUUUGAUCGUCUUUUAGGUACGAUCGAAUAGCAGCCAACAAGGAGCGGUUCACCCUCUCCGACGCGUUCGAUUGCGGUGCAUAGUGAGCGGUUUUAAAAUGCCUUAUACCGUAUUUAGUUAUCAUCGAUUCGAAUUCUUUGGAUACAAAUUGUUUUCCAUUGUCGGAAUGGAUGAUAUUGGGUACUCCAAACAUAUUAAAGACGUCUUCUUUUAAAAAUUUAAUGACGCUUGAAGUACUUGCUUUUCUUAACGCUUUCAAUAACACAAAUUUGGACAAAUGAUCUAAGACAACAAACACGUAUACAUUUCCUAAUUUUGACCUCGGAUAUGGUCCUAAAAAGUCAAUGUAUAUUUUUUCAAACGGACGAUUACUACAAUAUGACGUAACAAUAGGAGGACGAGAUACUUGAUUCGACGCUUUACUUUGUUUACACACACUACAAUUAGAGACGUAUUCACGAACAUGCACGGUCAUAUUAGGCCAGUAGAAAUAAUUUCUAAGUUUAGCUAGAUUUUUAGCUAUGCCGCCGUGUGCGGAUUUAGGAGGAUCAUGAACCUUCUUUAUAAUUUCCUCGGUUAACCCUGAUGGUACCCAAAGGAGCCAAGAAUGUUCCCACAUUUCUUCUUCGCCUAAUUUUUUAAAAACUUUUUUAUAAACAUAUCCGUCUUCGUAUUUUAAGUCGGGAAGCUCGUUUUUAUGGUUGUAAACCGUCUCGAUGAGGUCUAAAUAUUCAUCGGAAAGGAAUUCCGCUGACUUCAGGUCAAUCAACGGGGCAACGUCCUCGAUGGUCAGAGAAUCCACAUGUACCCGAGAAAGAGUAUCCGGUACUACGUGUUGACUUCCUUUACGGUGCUGUAUGUCGAAGGUAUAGGACUGUAACGAAAGACUCCACCUGGCAAGCUUGCCACUAAGGUCCUUCAUGCUCAUCAGCCAUUUAAGGCUGGAAUGGUCCGUUAUGAUUGUAAAGUCCAUUCCCUCGACAUACGGCCUGAACUUCUUCACAGCCAUCACCGCGGCCAUACACUCCUUCUCGGUGACACUGUAGUUCCUCUGACUUUUAUUAAAUUUUUGAGAGAAAAACGCGAUCGGUACCUCCUCUCCUUCCUCGUCCAACUGAACCAGUACAGCACCGAUCCCGGCGUCAGAAGCAUCACAUUGGAUGUAAAAUCUUUUUGUGAACUCCGGGCGCGAAAGAACCGGUGCUGAGAUCAACGCUUUCUUCAGAUUCUCGAAUGCCAUCAGCGCUUCAUCCGUCAUGAAGAACUUCUCGCUUCUCUUCUUCAACAGGUCAGUCAAAGGAGCAGUCAAAGUUGAAAAGUCCUUUAUGAACUUCCGAUACCAGCCUGCCAUUCCAAGUAGCCUACGGAUCUGCCUAGGGGUUUUCGGGAUCGGGAAAUCCACGAUCGCCUCUACUUUCGCCGGAUCCGUUUUAAAUUUCCCACCACCAACUAUGAAGCCCAAGUAUUUUAACUCUUUGAAGCAAAACCUUGAUUUCUUCAUGUUGAUGGUGAGAUUGGCUUUACGUAAGCAUUCGGCUACUUCGCUUAGCAGGCUGAUAUGGGUAUCAAAAUCCGGUGCCAUGAUAAGCAAGUCAUCGAGGUACACAAAAACGCGCUCCCUAAGUCGUGCAGGAAUCACCUUGUCCAUCAACUGGCUCAACCGUUGAGCUGCAUUGCACAACCCAAACGGCAUCACAGUGAACUGGUACAAGGGUCUUCCCGGUACCGCAAAGGCAGUCUUUUCUCUACUCUGUUUCUCCAGCGGAAUUUGCCAAAAGGCCUCUUUGAGAUCGAUGCUACUCAUGUAAAUCGCGUCGGGAAAUCGGCUGGUGAGUCCUUCAAUGUGAGGAAGAGGGUUCGCAUUUUUCUUCGUCAGUGCGUUCACCUUACGGGAAUCCAAACAGAGUCGGUUUUUGCCGGGUUUCCGUAAGAGUACCACUGGCGAACACCACGGGCUUUCACUCUCCUCAAUCACACCGAGUUUCAGCAUCCGAUCCAACUCAUCGUACAACAGUGUUUGUAUCGCUGGAGAGACAGGGUAGUGACGCUGUUUCACAGGGAGAGCAUCUCCUGUUUCGAUGACAUGCUCCAUCAUGGUAGUCUUUCCAAGACCAUCGCGCUCGAAACUUAAAAAUUUAUCUUUGACAGCAUCCAGCCUGGCCUGUUGAUCCGAGGUUAACUGGUGAGCAUUUGGAGAAUCUGAUUGUUCGUCAACCGAGAUACUACUUAUAAUUCCCGGAGCUAACUGGAACACUCUCCAAAAGUCAACUCCAAGAUAGAUCUCCUGGUCCAAGCUGGGAACGAGGAAGAAGGUCAACAUCUCUUCUUUAUCCUUAUAUGUAACGCUAAUGGAAAUUUUGCCCACAAUUGAUUGUCUUUUUCCGUCAGCAGUCCUAACUCCUGAACUGAAAGGUGUAAUAGGACAACCAAGUUGUUCAAUCAACUGAUUGCAGUUUUUCCCUAAUAUGCUUACACUAGCACCGCUGUCUAGUAAGCCUAAAAACUCUCUCGAACCUAUUUUAAUUUUUGCAUAAGGCCGAGGAUCGGAUUCUAAAUUUAAAAUGGUCGAAGAUAUCUUCUUCGAAGUAUCUUUACGGGCCUUGAAUCUCGCCCUUGCCUUUAAAAUAUUUUUCGAAGGUGUACUAAUUGCACCGUUAAAAAUUCUUGCCCGAGCUUUCUCGUAUUCCUGAAGACGGACAUGUAACGGUUUGAUUUUGUAUAAAUUUCUUUCAUUUACUUCUUUUAUAAUUUCUCCUUUUUCUUUUCGCUUUAAAAUUUGUAUUUUUAUCUCACCCUCUUGCAAGAGAGGGGUUUCCAUCACUCCAUCAGCGGAGGUGGAAUUUUUAAAAUCUAUUGGGGGUUCUGAUUUGGAUUGGCACGCGAUUCCCCCGUACCCUUCGCGUCCCGAGACCGGUUUCCCUGAUUGCAUCGUGGGCAACGUGGAGUUAUUACGCCUUCUAGACCACACUUGUAGCAAAACACGUUUCGCACAUCAGACUCACAAUCAAAGUAAGUAUGGCCCUGCACUCUGCAGUUCCAACAUUCUAAUUUUGUAGUGUCCGCGUAUUUGCGAGGCGAAAUUUUUGGUCGAGCCGUACCAAACUGAUAAGCAGCAAGCUGUUCAUCCGUCGGUUGGUACUCCUCUUCCAAUUUCAGUUCAUUGACCGGAUAUUUACCUGGUGGUUUGGCAAAGGUUUUUGGCAAUUCCUUCCUCGGAAAUGCCACUUCCGCAUCCUUGCACGCAGUCCUCAGCUGAUCGGAGGUAAAGAUGGCCUGUGGAUAAACUAAUUUCCCUAUUCUUUCAUUUAGAUUUCUUUUCAGAAUUCGCACCAUUUCAACAUCCGGUAUUGGGACCCUUAACUGGAAUUUCAUCCUGUUUAUGGCCAUGAAGAAAUCUUCACUACUCUCCCAGGAAUGCUGCUUGCGAUCCAUGAUGUCUCGGAUUAUCUCGAAGUCUGAGCGAGUAUUCCUAUACUGACGCAGCAAGGCAUCCUUCAAAGCUGGCCAGUCAUGACGGUAAUUUGUCCGCUGAAACUGCCAGUACCACUCGGUAGCAUUUCCUGAGAGAAGUAGAUGAAAAUCCCUUAACACUUCGCCCCAGGAACAUCUAUGCUUGUUCCGCUGGAUCUCAACCCGAAGAACAAAAUCCUCUGCGGUCAUAGUCGUUGGUUGGCCAUCGAACUUCAAACCCCAUCUAUCCAAUCUUAUUGGACCCUGGGGUCUCGGAUGCUGAGUUGGUCCAUAGUACUCCGGUUGGUAGCCGUAUGGGUUAGGAGUUCUCAUAGGAUAAGAGUUGACAUACGGAUCUGACGGGAUUUCCUCAUACCCAGCGGGAAGAUUACCCCUAUCUUGAGGUCUUCUCGUCGGGUCAUGUAUUAGGCGACUCGAUUGAUUAACCGGUACAAAAGCGCUUCCACCUGGAUCACUUGGAGGAUACUGCUGCACUGGUGGCUGGGUCGCCGGCACAGGUCUGGGCAUCUGACCAGCAGAAGAAUGAUUUGUUGGCCCUACAUUUAAAUUCCUAAGGAAUUCACCAAGUUGAUUUUGGAUUUCACUCUUUAAGGAGGAGGUGGUCUUUGAGCUAGGCUCUCUAAGAUGUCCCUGGAACUACCUGAGCCAACUGCCUGGACUGAUACUGGUCUAUUACUAGUAUCAGGCACAAAACCUGUCGCUGGUCGCACAGUAUCGUUCAUCGACCCGAUACUUUCCCUACUAUGCACGUUCUCCUCUCUCAUCCCACUAAGUUGACUAAUCGGGGGAGGAGAAACUGAAUCGACCGUGCUAUAGGUUUCAUCGCGAGCCAGAGGAAUACUAGCCCUAGCUGGUUGGUUGGAUUCAGCUCGGAUUUGCCUAUCAGAAAUAAGAGGAGAAUACAUCAUCUGCUGUCUAGAGCAUUCCUUAUAAGGCGGUUUAUGCGCUCUUCCUCUUCUUUACUGGAAUAAGCCAUCGUUUAUCGGUUCAACAAUCAACAAAGAAAAUAAAAAAACAACAAAACAAAAGGGGUGAGCUUGCCAAAAAAAAAACACACCUAUUGGUAUUUGCAACCUAAAUUUAUACAACUAACCUUACGAAAGCAAAAAUGUCAAAAAAAAAUAAAUAAAUAAUGUAACGAUGAAAAAAAAUGUAAAUUUAUAGAAACUAGAAUAAGAAAAAAAAAAUGAAAAAGAUAAAUUGAAAAAACUAAAUUAAGAAAAAUAAAUUAAUCAAACAAAAAAAAACGAAAUGUAAACUUAUCGAAAACUGUAUAGAAAAAAUAAAUAAAUAAGAAAAUAAGAUAGAAAAACUGUACACUGUAACUAAACAAAACCUAAUAUUGGAACAAAAAGAUAUAUAAAUAACAAAAAGUUUAAUAAAUAACGAAAACUAGUAAAUAAAUAAUGUAAACGAAAAAUUUUAAGAAAAAUAUUGUAACUAAAUAACUAAUUUAUCAAAACUGUACCUAAACUUACAAAAAAAACUAUAACUAUAUAACUGUAAAUAAAUAAGAAACUCAAAAAAUAACUUGUUAAUUAAAUUACUCACGAAAAAUACUAAGAAUCGAUAAGAAAAAAUAAUAAUAAGAAUAGAAAAAUGAAAAAUGAAAAAUGAAAAACGAAAAACGAUAGAUAACCUCUUAACAAAUGUAAUUCUAAAAAAAAACUAUUUUAGAAAACUUUGUACAGUUAUCUUUAAAUUUGAUUGUCUUACUAAGAUUAAAUUAGUUUUCUAUAAUGAAAACAAAUUAACUCUAUAAAGUAAGAAAAAUUAUCAAAAACAAACUUAACAAACUAAGAAAACAAAAAAAAAUUAAGAAAAAUGUAAAAUUUCAAUAAUUUUGUAAUAAAUAACACUCAAACAAAAUUAACGAAAAAUCAAAUCAAGAAAAAAAUAUCAGAAUAACUUUGAAAAAUGUACAAAAAAAAUAAAUCAAAGAAAAAUAUGUAUGUAAUAAAGUUAGUAAUUGAAACAAAAGGA